UUAGGAUAGUCGUCGUCUGCCAGCUGCUUGCGCUUGUCCGAGCAAGAAUGUGCUGACAGUCCGCUGGCACUCCGCGACUUCCGGUCCAUAAAAAAACGAACGCGAUUCUGGCAGCUCUCGGACUAGUGGGCGGAGCUUCCGAAGCUGUUCGAGAAAAUCGAAUGCGGCACAGCAGUUCCAAGCAGUCUCAGACUGUCAGGGACUGAUAAUCAAAAAGGCUGCAGUGUCCGCUCUUCUUGAAUUUUUUUUUCUAUGACCCCCUUUUGAGCCUGCUUUAGUGGUUGUAUCGGUUGCACGGUUUCAUCGAGCACGCAAUUUCGUCGGUCCCGCAGCAGACACGAUGCCACCCAACAAGCAUACCGGCUGCCAGAACAAUUCUGUCUGCUCUGUGGUGCAAGAACUGCGGCGGAAACAGUCAAGCAUAGUUCGUUCGUUUUCCGGCAGACUGAAGUGCUUACCUAGACAAGCACAGUCGACCUGACAUAGUGAACAGACGGCUGGUGUACCUUGCACUCGUUCACCUAUCAAAAGCCAAACUGAUGCUGCGAAGUGGUAUCAACUCAUUGAGCACCGAAGGGAAUGUGGAGUUACUCUAACGUGACGACUCGGGCUCCUUCAAUCUCUUCCUUGCUUCUCUGCGAAUGGGAGGUCCAAUGCUCAGCCCAGGCUGCCAUAAGACGCCGCAGCAAAGACUAACGCUGCUCUGUGGCCGAAAACGACGCACCUCCGAUGAUGGUACCUCCAAAAACCAUACUGCGUUCCCGCUUUGUACCGACACGCAAAAGCUCCUAAGCUUCACAUGAAAAGACGUCCAAACCCGCGCUGGCUGUGAUAUCUAUUUUUUGCCGUCUCUUAUAAAGUUCUUAUAUACUGCACACAAUAAAUCGACUUCCACGGCGGGGUGCUACAGUCUAAGUGAUG